UAGGGAAUCUUCCGCAAUGGACGCAAGUCUGACGGAGCAACGCCGCGUGAGUGAAGAAGGAUUUCGGUUCGUAAAACUCUGUUGUUAGAGAAGAACAGCGCAUAGAGUAACUGUUAUGCGUGUGACGGUAUCUAACCAGAAAGCCACGGCUAACUACGUGCCAGCAGCCGCGGUAAUACGUAGGUGGCAAGCGUUGUCCGGAUUUAUUGAGCGUAAAGCGAGCGCAGGCGGUCAAUUAAGUCUGAUGUGAAAGCCCCCGGCUCAACCGGGGAGGGUCAUUGGAAACUGGUUGACUUGAGUGCAGAAGAGGAGAGUGGAAUUCCAUGUGUAGCGGUGAAAUGCGCAGAGAUAUGGAGGAACACCAGUGGCGAAGGCGACUUUCUGGUCUGUAACUGACGCUGAUGUGCGAAAGCGUGGGGAUCAAACAGG
rnacentral:rRNA from 1 species